UACAGGAACAUAAUCAAAGGUGUUUCGUUCAGCGUUCAGGUCUUCAAUGAUGGCAGUAAAAAUUGUUGUCAUGGCACUUGACCACGAUUUUUGUUGCAGUAAGGUACAAUAUCGAGCCAUAGGAGGAAAUCAAAGUCAAUUCUGACUGGAUUUAAUCCCAGAAUAUUAAGGGACGUAACUAAAUAUUACAAAAAAUUUUACUUCAAAUCCUCCCGCAACCUCAUGUUUAGCCCUGGGUCAAUUUGAUUAAGCAAAUCAUUAUCAAAAUUAUUCUAGCCACGACCAUCCCGUUUUUGUAGAAUGUAGGAAUACAUUGUCUAAUGUCCCUUCCCUGUUUAAGAUGAUCUGGUUCAAGUUGAGUGAGAUUAACUGUUGUUUCUGACACUUCGAGCGACCACAUAGGGGCUCUGACGCCAAGUCUAAAGAUGAUUACGACGAUGAUGAUGAAGAUUAUGAAGAAGUUGAAAUUUUAACUAUUCUUUAUGAAAAAAGUAUCGAGGAGAUGAGAGAGAAGGUGCAGUUGUUUGAGUAGACAAAGAAUUAAAAAUGAUGACUAUCCUAUUUUUUUUCUUUAGAUUAAGUAUAUUUAAAAUCAUAUCUAAUGUACCAUUCACUAAGUGUAAUUUCAGAGUCGAUUUGGGUACUAUGUAUAACUGAACAAAUGUCUACAUAAAGACUUUCCUCAUAGCCUCAUCCUGUCAUUAAUUUAGACAUUGUAUAACUAGGACUAAUAUUAAUUUUAAGGGAAAUUUCACUGCGCUGUUUAGCAUUGCCAAGUACAAGCACAAUGAUUGGAUGGCGGGAGGGAAAGUGAUGUUUUUUUAAAGGGGAGACAACUGAUGGGUCGUUGAAGAACUGUGUGACGCCACCUAGUGGCCAUCAUGAUAAGUUAGAGCUAACGCCAUUUUGUAACUUUGUAUCACUGAACUAUUUAUUGUUGCUUAAAGUUAUAUUAAUUAGAUAGUUUAUUGUGAAAAAGGAUAUUUUUAUUUCAUUGAAAAACAUAUAUCACAUUAGUAACAAUCUAACACAACAAUGACAGACGCUGAAUACCUCGAAUUUGAACGACAGAUUGCUGAAAACCGGGCAGCAGAUGAACGACGUCGUAGAUCCCCUGGGGCUUCUGGCCAGCCUGGUCCUUUUCCUCAAGGUGCACCUCAAGCUGGCAGGGGCCGCAGGUCUAGGUCAAGGUCACCACGCAAUAGAGCACGUAG